rnacentral:rRNA from 1 species
AUUGAACGCUGGCGGCAGGCCUAACACAUGCAAGUCGAGCGGAUGAGUGGAGCUUGCUCCAUGAUUCAGCGGCGGACGGGUGAGUAAUGCCUAGGAAUCUGCCUGGUAGUGGGGGACAACGUUUCGAAAGGAACGCUAAUACCGCAUACGUCCUACGGGAGAAAGUGGGGGAUCUUCGGACCUCACGCUAUCAGAUGAGCCUAGGUCGGAUUAGCUAGUUGGUGAGGUAAAGGCUCACCAAGGCGACGAUCCGUAACUGGUCUGAGAGGAUGAUCAGUCACACUGGAACUGAGACACGGUCCAGACUCCUACGGGAGGCAGCAGUGGGGAAUAUUGGACAAUGGGCGAAAGCCUGAUCCAGCCAUGCCGCGUGUGUGAAGAAGGUCUUCGGAUUGUAAAGCACUUUAAGUUGGGAGGAAGGGCAGUAAGUUAAUACCUUGCUGUUUUGACGUUACCAACAGAAUAAGCACCGGCUAACUUCGUGCC